AUUAGAGUUUGAUCCUGGCUCAGGACGAACGCUGGCGGCGUGCCUAAUACAUGCAAGUCGAGCGAGCCGAACUAAUUGAUUACCUUCGGGUAUGAAGUUAGGGAAGCGAGCGGCGGAUGGGUGAGUAACACGUGGGUAACCUACCCUAUAGUCUGGGAUACCACUUGGAAACAGGUGCUAAUACCGGAUAAAAGGAGAGAUCACAUGAUUUCUUUUUGAAAGGCGGCGUAAGCUGUCGCUAAAGGAUGGACCCGCGGUGCAUUAGCUAGGUGGUAAGGUAACGGCUUACCAAGGCAACGAUGCAUAGCCGAGUUGAGAGACUGAUCGGCCACAUUGGGACUGAGACACGGCCCAAACUCCUACGGGAGGCAGCAGUAGGGAAUCUUCCACAAUGGACGCAAGUCUGAUGGAGCAACGCCGCGUGAGUGAAGAAGGUUUUCGGAUCGUAAAGCUCUGUUGUUGGUGAAGAAAGAUAGUGAGAGUAACUGCUCAUUAUUUGCCGGUAAUCAACCAGAAAGUCACGGCUAACUACGUGCCAGCAGCCGCGGUAAUACGUAGGUGGCAAGCGUUGUCCGGAUUUAUUGGGCGUAAAGCGAGCGCAGGCGGAAAGAUAAGUCAGAUGUGAAAGCCCUCGGCUUAACCGAGGAAUAGCAUCGGAAACUGUCUUUCUUGAGUGCAGAAGAGGAGAGUGGAACUCCAUGUGUAGCGGUGG
rnacentral:rRNA from 1 species